rnacentral:rRNA from 1 species
UACGUAGGGUGCAAGCGUUGUCCGGAAUUAUUGGGCGUAAAGAGCUCGUAGGCGGUCUGUCGCGUCUGCUGCGAAAACUCAGGCUUAACCCUGAGCUUGCAGUGGGUACGGGCAGACUAGAGUGCAGUAGGGAGACUGGAAUUCCUGGUGUAGCGGUGAAAUGCGCAGAUAUCAGGAGAACACCCGUGGCUAAGGCGGUUCUCUAGUACGGUACUGACGCUGGAGACGCGAAAGCGUGGGAGCGAACAGG